UUUUAGACCCGAUUGAAGUGGAAAUCCUUUUUAUUUUUUCUUUAAAAAUAAAAAGAUUGCAACGGAAAGCGGGAGAUAGC
rnacentral:sRNA from 1 species